rnacentral:rRNA from 1 species
UGGGGAAUAUUGCACAAUGGGGGAAACCCUGAUGCAGCGACGCCGCGUGAACGAAGAAGGUAUUCGUAUCGUAAAGUUCUGUCCUAUGGGAAGAUAAUGACAGUACCAUAGAAGAAAGCUCCGGCUAAAUACGUGCCAGCAGCCGCGGUAAUACGUAUGGAGCGAGCGUUGUCCGGAAUUAUUGGGCGUAAAGGGUACGCAGGCGGUUUAAUAAGUCGAAUGUUAAAGAUCGGGGCUCAACCCCGUAAAGCAUUGGAAACUGACAAACUUGAGUAGUGGAGAGGAAAGUGGAAUUCCUAGUGUAGUGGUGAAAUACGUAGAUAUUAGGAGGAAUACCAGUAGCGAAGGCGACUUUCUGGACACAAACUGACGCUGAGGUACGAAAGCGUGGGGAGCAAACAGG